GUGGGGAAUAUUGGACAAUGGGGGGAACCCUGAUCCAGCCAUGCCGCGUGUGUGAAGAAGGCCUUUUGGUUGUAAAGCACUUUAAGCGAGGAGGAGGCUUACCUGGUUAAUACCUGGGAUAAGUGGACGUUACUCGCAGAAUAAGCACCGGCUAACUCUGUGCCAGCAGCCGCGGUAAUACAGAGGGUGCAAGCGUUAAUCGGAUUUACUGGGCGUAAAGCGCGCGUAGGUGGCUAAUUAAGUCAAAUGUGAAAUCCCCGAGCUUAACUUGGGAAUUGCAUUCGAUACUGGUUAGCUAGAGUAUGGGAGAGGAUGGUAGAAUUCCAGGUGUAGCGGUGAAAUGCGUAGAGAUCUGGAGGAAUACCGAUGGCGAAGGCAGCCAUCUGGCCUAAUACUGACACUGAGGUGCGAAAGCAUGGGGAGCAA
rnacentral:rRNA from 1 species